rnacentral:rRNA from 1 species
AGCGAACGCUGGCGGCAGGCUUAACACAUGCAAGUCGAGCGGGCCCUUCGGGGUCAGCGGCGGACGGGUGAGUAACACGUGGGAACGUGCCCUUUGGUUCGGAAUAGCACCUGGAAACGGGUGGUAAUACCGGAUGGGCCCUUCGGGGGAAAGAUUUAUCGCCAUUGGAGCGGCCCGCGUCGGAUUAGGUAGUUGGUGGGGUAAAGGCCCACCAAGCCUUCGAUCCGUAGCUGGUCUGAGAGGAUGAUCAGCCACACUGGGACUGAGACACGGCCCAGACUCCUACGGGAGGCAGCAGUGGGGAAUCUUGCGCAAUGGGCGAAAGCCUGACGCAGCCAUGCCGCGUGAGUGAUGAAGGCCUUAGGGUUGUAAAACUCUUUCACCGGGGACGAUAAUGACGGUACCCGGAGAAGAAGCCCCGGCUAACUUCGUGCCAGCCGCCGCCGUAACAC